rnacentral:lncRNA from 1 species
UGUAAUGGCGGCUGUGACUGAAGUUGUGGUACCCGCGGACGGCGCGGAAGCCAGGCCCUUGGCGGCCGAGGAGCUGGCGGCGCAGAAGCGAGAGCAGAGACUGCGCAAGUUCCGUGAGCUGCAUCUGAAGCGGAAUGAAGCUCGUAAGUUAAAUCACCAGGAAGUUGUGGAAGAAGACAAAAGACUUAAGCUGCCUGCUAACUGGGAAGCCAAGAAAGCACGUCUGGAGUGGGAACUCCAGGAAGAAGAAAAGAAGAAGGAGUGUGCAGCUCGAGGGGAAGACUACGAGAAGGUGAAACUGCUGGAGAUCAGUGCGGAGGACGCUGAGAGGUGGGAGAGGAGGAAGAAGAAGAAGAACCCUGACUUGGGGUUUUCAGGUACAGCUGGCCUGGCUGACCUCUGCUUUACUGUGUGGGCCUGUUGGACCAAGGCUUCUGCUUUAGUGAGAGCGCAUGCCCACUGACCUUCAUGGAAUAUUCUUGGAGGCCAAGGAGAACCCGGGGCUUCCUGUCAAUCUGCUGGCUGUGUUGGCCCUUAGUGUAAAGUUAGCCUUUGCUGUUGCAGCCAUUUUGUUCCUUAGGCUUAUUCUGUAGCCCAGGCAGUCUGCAGACUCAGGACCCUCCUGCCUCUGCCUCCUGAGUGGGGGCUCACAGGGAUGUGCCACCACCCCUGACAGAAUUAGCCCGUCCUCUUGUCAGCCUGUUGGGCAGAGGCUGUGCUUAGGAUAGUGCCACCACCCCUGACAGA